rnacentral:rRNA from 1 species
GGCAAACGGGUGCGGAACACGUACAGAAACCUUCCUUUAAGCGGGGAAAUUAGGCCCGGAGAAAUCCGGAUUAAUACCCCAUAGUAAUCGUCGAGUGGCAUCCACUUGAUAUUUUAAAGAUUUAUCACUUAAAGAUGGCUGUGCCGGCUGAUUAAGGUAGUUGGUUGAGGUAACGGUUCACCAAGCCAGCGAUCAGUCAACUGGUGUGAGAGCACGACCAGUCACACGGGCACUGAGACACGGGCCCGACUCCUACGGGAGGCAGCAGUAAGGAAUCAUCUUGGUCAAUGGACGCAAGUCUGAACCAGCCAUGCCGCGUGAAGGAUGAAGGCCCUCUGGGUUGUAAACUUCUUUUAUCUGGGAAGAAACCACUUUUUUUUAAAGGUGUUGACGGUACCAGAGGCAAUAAGCAACCGGCUAAACUCCGUGCCAGNCGCCGCGG